rnacentral:rRNA from 1 species
AUUGAACGCUGGCGGCAGGCCUAACACAUGCAAGUCGGGCGAGCCGCGGACGGGUGUGUAAUGUAUGGGGAUCUGCCUGAUGGCGGGGGAUAACUUCUGCAAACGGUAGCUAAUACCGCAUACUCUCAGAUGACCCCAUAUGGGAUUAGCUAGUAGGUGGGGUAAUGGCAUAUCUAGGCGACGCUCCCUAGCUGGUCUGAGAGGAUGAUCAGCGACACUGGGACUGAGACACGGCACAGACUCCUACGGGAGGCAGCAGUGGGGAAUAUUGCACAAUGGGCGCAAGCCUGAUGCAGCCAUGCCGCGUGUAUGAAGAAGGCCUUCGGGUUGUAAAGUACUUUCAGUCGGGAGGCGUUACCGACAGAAGAAGCACCGGCUAACUCCGUGCCAGCAGCCGCGGUAAUUC